rnacentral:rRNA from 1 species
AGCAGCCGCGGUAAUUCCAGCUCCAAUAGCGUAUAUUAAAGUUGUUGCAGUUAAAAAGCUCGUAGUUGAACUUCGGGGUUUACCCAUUGGUCAGGCUUAAUUGUCUGUACUGGUGAGAUAAAUCUCUACCUUCUGAGGAACUUUCAUGCCAUUUAUUUGGUGUGAUUGGAAAUCAGGACUAUUACUUUGAAAAAUUAGAGUGUUUAAAGCAGGCUAACGUCUGAAUAUAUUAGCAUGGAAUAAUGAAAUAGGACGGCUUGGUUCUAUUUCGUUGGUUUCUAGGAUCACCGUAAUGAUUAAUAGGGAUAGUUGGGGGCAUUAGUAUUCAAUUGUCAGAGGUGAAAUUCUUGGAUUUAUUGAAGACUAACUACUGCGAAAGCAUUUGCCAAGGAUGUUUUCAUUAAUCAAGAACGAAAGUUAGGGGAUCGAAGACGAUCAGAUACCGUCGUAGUCUUAACCAUAAACUAUGCCGACUAGG